rnacentral:rRNA from 1 species
GAUGAACGAUGGCGGCGUGCCUAAUACAUGCAAGUCGAGCGAACAGACGAGGAGCUUGCUCCUCUGACGUUAGCGGCGGACGGGUGAGUAACACGUGGAUAACCUACCUAUAAGACUGGGAUAACUUCGGGAAACCGGAGCUAAUACCGGAUAAUAUAUUGAACCGCAUGGUUCAAUAGUGAAAGACGGUUUUGCUGUCACUUAUAGAUGGAUCCGCGCCGCAUUAGCUAGUUGGUAAGGUAACGGCUUACCAAGGCAACGAUGCGUAGCCGACCUGAGAGGGUGAUCGGCCACACUGGAACUGAGACACGGUCCAGACUCCUACGGGAGGCAGCAGUAGGGAAUCUUCCGCAAUGGGCGAAGGCCUGACGGAGCAACGCCGCGUGAGUGAUGAAGGUCUUCGGAUCGUAAAACUCUGUUAUUAGGGAAGAACAAAUGUGUAAGUAACUAUGCACGUCUUGACGGUACCUAAUCAGAAAGCCACGGCUAACUACGUG